AGCGCAGGCGGGUUAGUAAGUCGGUGGUGAAAUUCUUAGGCUUAACCUAAGGACUGCCAUCGAUACUGCUAAUCUUGAGUGCAGAAGAGGUUGAUGGAAUUCUAGGUGUAGCGGUGAAAUGCGUAGAUAUCUAGAAGAACACCGAUGGCGAAGGCAGUCAACUGGUCUGCUACUGACGCUCAUGCUCGAAAGCGUGGGGAUCAAACAGGAUUAGAUACCCUGGUAGUCCACGCCCUAAACGAUGGAUACUCGAUGUCGGGCCGCAAGGCUCGGUGUCUAAGCUAACGCAUUAAGUAUCCCACCUGGGGAGUACGAUCGCAAGGUUGAA
rnacentral:rRNA from 1 species